rnacentral:tRNA from 1 species
UUCUUACCCAACCCAAUUUCCAGAUUAAUUCUCGUUUUUUUAUUUCUUAGAUAUAAAUAUACCUAUCGAAUCUUAGUAAUAAAG